UACGUAGGGUGCGAGCGUUGUCCGGAAUUAUUGGGCGUAAAGAGCGUGUAGGCGGUUCGGUAGGUCCGUUGUGAAAACUCGAGGCUCAACCUCGAGACGUCGGCGGAAACCAUCUGGCUAGAGUCCGGAAGAGGAGAGUGGAAUUCCUGGUGUAGCGGUGAAAUGCGCAGAUAUCAGGAAGAACACCCGUGGCGAAGGCGGCUCUCUGGGACGGUACUGACGCUGAGACGCGAAAGCGUGGGGAGCGAACAGG
rnacentral:rRNA from 1 species